UACGGAGGGUGCAAGCGUUAUCCGGAUUCACUGGGUUUAAAGGGUGCGUAGGCGGGCUAUUAAGUCAGUGGUGAAAUCCCGGGGCUCAACCUCGGAACUGCCAUUGAUACUAUUAGCCUUGAAUUAUGUUGAGGUUGGCGGAAUAUAACAUGUAGCGGUGAAAUGCUUAGAUAUGUUAUGGAACACCGAUUGCGAAGGCAAUCCCCUGGGCCUGUACUGACGCUCAUGCACGAAAGCGUGGGGAGCAAACAGG
rnacentral:rRNA from 1 species